rnacentral:rRNA from 1 species
GACGAACGCUGGCGGCGUGCCUAAUACAUGCAAGUAGAACGCUGACGCGAGGAGCUUGCUCUUCUUGGGUGAGCUGCGGACGGGUGAGUAACGCGUAGGUAACCUGCCUUUUAGCGGGGGAUAACUAUUGGAAACGAUAGCUAAUACCGCAUAACAAUGGAUGACACAUGUCGUUUAUUUGAAAGGGGCAAUUGCUCCACGACAAGAUGGACCUGCGUUGUAUUAGCUAGUAGGUGAGGUAACGGCUCACCUAGGCGACGAUACAUAGCCGACCUGAGAGGGGGGACGGCCAAACUGGGAACGGGACCAGGGCCAGAACCCCACGGGGAGGAGGCGGAGGGAAUCUUCGGCAAUGGGGGGAAAGCCGACCGCGGAAAGACGCGUGAGGGGAGAGGGUUUUCGGAUCGUAAAGGUCUGUUGUAAGUCAAGAACGAGUGUGAGAGUGGAAAGUUCACAUUGUGACGGUACCUAAACAGAAAGCGACGGCUAACUACGUG